CCUUUUCAUAUUACAUAAAUGCAGACCCAAGGAUAUGCAUGCAUGGAAUUCCAGACCUUCAGUUUGAAUAAACAAUUUGGCUACCAUGAUGAUAUGGUUAGACGCAAAUAAGCAAACAUUCAUUAGGAACACAUCCUGAGCACCAAAACACUGAAACUAAUAUGCAUAUCCCUGAAACUGACAUGAAGUGUCAUGGUUCAUGAUCUUUGCAGAUCUUAUACUGAAGUCUGUCUGUGAGACUAGGAUGCAGCAUCACGGCUGUUUGGGAGCCAUGUUCAUCUACAUAGCCUCCACCAAUCCAAAGUUGCCACACAAAAAGGCAGAGCUGGAGGCAAUGCAAUGAUGCACAAAGGCACUUUGCCAAAGGUGGAGCACCACCAUUGGUGCCUCCCAUCCCACUUUCUGUCAUGGUCUCAUGGAAUGAAGUAGAUCGAGCUUAUCCAAUUCCUCAUUCGCAAUUGUUGCAACUGACAAUCCUCCUCCUUUGUGACAAGAAAAAGGCCACCAUCGUCCACCUUCUUUUGGCACUGAAAUAUAUAUGCAACUGAACUUAAAUUCUGUAUACACUUUUUAGCUGAAGCUCUCACUUGUGUUCUGUAGCAAAUUUAAGGUAAAGGCUAAAGGGAGUGAGGCAUAUGCUGCAAGAGUGGUUUGAGCCUUUUUCUUGUAAGGUCACAUUCAGAAAAUCUCAACCUGCAGCUGUGUCUACCUUCUUGGAAGGUUAAGAGUGUAACAGAAUAUGCUGGAAUAGUGGCCUUCGCUUUUUCUUUGUAAAGUUAGUCUCAGGAAGAUUCUGAGACUGUUCUAAUCUGAUGAUUUUUCUAGUAA